UGUAGUAACUCACAGCAGACACAACGACGCAUAAACACACAACCACUGUAGCAAAAUUACUAGUUUACCAAUUUACGAAAUCGAAAGACCUGUUAAGUUUAUCGCAACCCGCACGCCGUGCACGUUAAAUACGAUAAAAAUGACAGAUAACAAGAACCUAUUAAUAAUCAACGAACUAUAUAAGAUAAAACUACAUUCAAACAUUCGAUAUCGUAUCGUUAAUGGUACACUUACUGU